AACGAACGCUGGCGGCAUGCCUAACACAUGCAAGUCGAACGAAGCCUUCGGGCUUAGUGGCGCACGGGUGCGUAACGCGUGGGAAUCUGCCCUUGGGUUCGGAAUAACAGUUAGAAAUGACUGCUAAUACCGGAUGAUGUCUUCGGACCAAAGAUUUAUCGCCCAAGGAUGAGCCCGCGUAGGAUUAGGUAGUCGGUGGGGUUAUGGCCCACCAAGCCGACGAUCCUUAGCUGGUCUGAGAGGAUGAUCAGCCACACUGGGACUGAGACACGGCCCAGACUCCUACGGGAGGCAGCAGUGGGGAAUAUUGGACAAUGGGCGAAAGCCUGAUCCAGCAAUGCCGCGUGAGUGAUGAAGGCCUUAGGGUUGUAAAGCUCUUUUACCAGGGAUGAUAAUGACAGUACCUGGAGAAUAAGCUCCGGCUAACUCCGUGCCAGCAGCCGCCGCGG
rnacentral:rRNA from 1 species